UCAAUAAAUGAAAAAUUAGAUUUAGUUGUUCAAAUAUAUCAAGAAAUUUCUACCACACAGACUUAUAGAAUUGAGUAUAUUACGUAUUAUGUGAUAUUAAUAGUAAAUUAUCAAUCCAAACCUUGGAAAACAAUUUAUUCGGACAUAUAUCUUUCAGAACCAGUUUAUAUAUAAUAUAUUUAGAAAUAUAAAUUUAUCUGUGUAUUCAUAUUAAAGAAGUUACUUUUUCACUGAAACAAGUUCUCCAUUAAUCAUCAGUCGGUGGAAAGUCAGUAGAAAUAAUAAUUGAACGAAGAAUGGCUUUCACAUUUAGUCCUUAAAUAUUAUGUCAGUUUUCAUAUUAUGGCCGUGGGAAUAAAAACAUUAAUUUGAAAAAUAGAUUGUCUAUGAAAAUCAUAAACAAAUGUUCUAUGCUUGGCAACGUAUCAAAUAAAAUUGAACAAGUUAUUAACGUCUACUACUUUUCAAGAAUUUUUGCAACUGUCACCAAAUCAUUUCAAUGGAUUCUAGUUAUUCUAAUAUACAAAAGUUAUAACUCAUUUCUUCAAUAUUUUUAAUAGUUUUUUAACGCAAGUAUAAUUAAUUUGAAUCAAAUUAUUUAUAAACUAGAAAUAGAAUUCAUGGAAUUGUAUUACUUUUUAUUACUUUUAUUACUUUAUUAUGUACUUCAUUUGUCUAUGACUUAUGAGACAUAGACCUAUAAACUAAUGGACAGCACUAGAGAAAGGAGUCAGGGGUACGAUAUAGAGUGAGCGAGAAAAGAAACAAAGUACAGUAGACACCGGUUGUAGUGACAUAUUGGGUGUAAUAACCUUAGAUUAAAGGUCCCUGCAAAACUCCUAUAUUGUAUGUACUAAUUUGUAUCGGUUUUUAUGACGUCUAUAUAAUGACUAUACGGAUGUUAUGACGCUAAUUUUUGGUUAUAUUGGAAAAAUAUUUUAUCUAUAAUGACGUCUUUACUUUAUUGAAGUUACUAUUACAGCCGAUAAUACCGACAAUUUCAUCUUUGUUUUGUCGUCAGUUUAAUUAUUUUUAUUUUAUCAUCAGGGUAAGGUAAUUGUCCUGAGAUUAAAUGUGUUUUGUGUUCUUGUGUUAAAUAUUUUGAAAUUGUAAAAUGUGCUAACGAAAGCAAUCCACAAUUGAAGAAAAAGCAAAUGUCAUGUUUCGUUUAAAAGAAGGUGAAAAAAAUUCCCUCAUACCUAAUGAAUUUGGGGUAGGUCACUCUAUACGAUUUCUAACAUAUGGAAAGCUUGAGACAAAAUCGAACAAGAAUUUCAAAAUGAAAUAACAGAUUUUUUUAAAAAUAACAAUUGAAUUAAUUAAUUUAAAUAAUAUGUACAUAAUUAAAUGUUUUUAUUUUUACUUUUUUUCUAUUAUAAAUUACAUAAAUAAAUAAUAAUAAUAAUACGUAUUGAAGUUACAAUUUGAUUUUAGUCAUUUUGGUUAUAAUGACAACCGGUUAUUAUGACCUAUUUUCUUUGGUCCCUUGAACGUCAUUAUAAACGGUUUCUACUACAGUAAAAAUAUCUACCUAUACAGUUCCUUAUGUGGAGUCCUUCACUACUUAUGUUCUUUCUCAUUCAGUUAUGUGAUUAUAUGAUCGCCUAGCAUUGAUUGCAGGGCGGAAUGGAAUGCACUGUCUAUUAGUUUAUAGGUCCUUGGUAUGAGACUAGAUCUUCAUUUUAAAUGUUUUACACUGUAUAAUUUUCUAUUGAGUGGAUACUACCCAUGCAUUUGUUGUGUACAUCUUUGACAUGUACGGCAUGGCUAAUUUUUGUUCACUAGUUUUGAUAGUGUGCUGUUAGUUUUGAUAUUAGAAUGAAUUGACCUAUCAAACUUUUAGGUAAGAACAUUGUCUGUGCUCCAGCGUUGGUUUUUUUCAGUAUUUUAAUUUUCAAACAAGAUGAGGAUUUUUUUUUUGAUAUUUCACAUACCUAUUUAUUGCAUUUAUAUGCUUAGGCACAGAAAAUGUUCUUAGCCAACAGUUUGUAUUAGGUCAAUUCACUCUGUAAUAUCAAAACUAAUAGCACACUGUUGAAACUAAUAAAACAAAAUUUGCCAUGUCAUACGUUUGUAAGGCGGAUACAACCAACACAUGAAUAGUGUCUUCUUAACUGUAAUAUAUUUUAGUAUAUUAAAUAAUAUAACAGUAAUAAUUUUCUUAAAAACUUGCCUUU